GAUGAACGCUGGCGGCGUGCCUAAUACAUGCAAGUCGAGCGAACAGACGAGGAGCUUGCUCCUCUGACGUUAGCGGCGGACGGGUGAGUAACACGUGGAUAACCUACCUAUAAGACUGGGAUAACUUCGGGAAACCGGGGCUAAUACCGGAUAAUAUAUUGAACCGCAUGGUUCAAUAGUAAAAGACGGUUUUGCUGUCACUUAUAGAUGGAUCCGCGCCGCAUUAGCUAGUUGGUAAGGUAACGGCUUACCAAGGCAACGAUGCGUAGCCGACCUGAGAGGGUGAUCGGCCACACUGGAACUGAGACACGGUCCAGACUCCUACGGGAGGCAGCAGUAGGGAAUCUUCCGCCAUGGGCGAAAGCCUGACGGAGCAACGCCGCGUGAGUGAUGAAGGUCUUCGGAUCGUAAAACUCUGUUAUUAGGGAAGAACAAAUGUGUAAGUAACUAUGCACGUCUUGACGGUACCUAAUCAGAAAGCCACGGCUCACUACGUG
rnacentral:rRNA from 1 species